rnacentral:rRNA from 1 species
UAGGGAAUCUUCGGCAAUGGGGGCAACCCUGACCGAGCAACGCCGCGUGAGUGAAGAAGGUUUUCGGAUCGUAAAGCUCUGUUGUAAGUCAAGAACGAGUGUGAGAGUGGAAAGUUCACACUGUGACGGUAGCUUACCAGAAAGGGACGGCUAACCACGUGCCAGCAGCCGCGGUAAUACGUAGGUCCCGAGCGUUGUCCGGAUUUAUUGGGCGUAAAGCGAGCGCAGGCGGUUUGAUAAGUCUGAAGUUAAAGGCUGUGGCUCAACCAUAGUUCGCUUUGGAAACUGUCAAACUUGAGUGCAGAAGGGGAGAGUGGAAUUCCAUGUGUAGCGGUGAAAUGCGUAGAUAUAUGGAGGAACACCGGUGGCGAAAGCGGCUCUCUGGUCUGUAACUGACGCUGAGGCUCGAAAGCGUGGGGAGCGAACAGGAUUAGAUACCCUGGUAGUCCACGCCGUAAACGAUGAGUGCUAGGUGUUGGAUCCUUUCCGGGAUUCAGUGCCGCAGCUAACGCAUUAAGCACUCCGCCUGGGGAGUACGACCGCAAGGUUG